GGUGGUGGAGACUUGUAGUAAUAAGGUGGAUGAGGCACAGGAGAUGGGGGAGGAGGUGAUUUAUAGUAGUAAGGCGGAGGAGGAGAUGGUGAAGGUGGUGGUGGAGAUUUGUAAUAGUAAGGUGGGGGAGGAGAUGGUGAAGGUGGUGGUGGGGAUUUGUAAUAGUAAGGUGGCAGGGGAGAGGGGGAUG